rnacentral:rRNA from 1 species
UACAGAGGUCUCAAGCGUUGUUCGGAUUCAUUGGGCGUAAAGGGUGCGUAGGCGGCGCGGUAAGUCAGGUGUGAAAUCUCGGAGCUUAACUCCGAAAUUGCAUUUGAUACUGCCGUGCUUGAGGACUGGAGAGGAGACUGGAAUUUACGGUGUAGCGGUGAAAUGCGUAGAUAUCGUAAGGAAGACCAGUGGCGAAGGCGGGUCUCUGGACAGUUCCUGACGCUGAGACACGAAGGCCAGGGGAGCAAACGGG